UACGAAGGGGGCUAGCGUUGUUCGGAAUUACUGGGCGUAAAGCGCACGUAGGCGGAUUGUUAAGUUAGGGGUGAAAUCCCAGGGCUCAACCCUGGAACUGCCUUUAAUACUGGCAAUCUCGAGUCCGAGAGAGGUGAGUGGAAUUCCGAGUGUAGAGGUGAAAUUCGUAGAUAUUCGGAGGAACACCAGUGGCGAAGGAGGCUCACUGGCUCGGUACUGACGCUGAGGUGCGAAAGCGUGGGGAGCAAACAGG
rnacentral:rRNA from 1 species